CAAUAGCGUAUAUUAAAGUUGUUGCAGUUAAAAAGCUCGUAGUUGGAUUUCUGGUGGGAGCGAUCGGUCUGGCGCUUAGCGCGAGUACUUGCAUCGUCUCCGGCCAUCCUUGGGGAGAGUCUGUCUGGCAUUAAGUUGUCGGGCAGAGGAUCCUCAUCGUUUACUGUGAAAAAAUUAGAGUGUUCAAAGCAGGCUUAUGCCGUUGAAUAUAUUAGCAUGGAAUAAUAAGAUAGGACUUUGGUACUAUUUUGUUGGUUUGCGCACCAAAGUAAUGAUUAAUAGGGACAGUUGGGGGUAUUCGUAUUCCGUUGUCAGAGGUGAAAUUCUUGGAUUUACGGAAGACGAACUACUGCGAAAGCAUUUACCAAGGAUGGUUUCAUUAA
rnacentral:rRNA from 1 species